rnacentral:rRNA from 1 species
UAAGUCCCGUAACGAGCGCAACCCUUGUCCUUAGUUACCAGCACGUUAUGGUGGGCACUCUAAGGAGACUGCCGGUGACAAACCGGAGGAAGGUGGGGAUGACGUCAAGUCAUCAUGGCCCUUACGGCCAGGGCUACACACGUGCUACAAUGGUCGGUACAAAGGGUUGCCAAGCCGCGAGGUGGAGCUAAUCCCAUAAAACCGAUCGUAGUCCGGAUCGCAGUCUGCAACUCGACUGCGUGAAGUCGGAAUCGCUAGUAAUCGUGAAUCAGAAUGUCACGGUGAAUACGUUCCCGGGCCUUGUACACACCGCCCGUCACACCAUGGGAGUGGGUUGCUCCAGAAGUAGCUAGUCUAACCGCAAGGGGGACGGUUACCACGGAGUGAUUCAUGACUGGGGUGAAGUCGUAACAAGGUAGCCGU